CUUGGUAAUAUCAUCUCUACUGUGCUUUGAGUAUGGUCUUAAGAGGAGAUUGCCAGUACCCUUUGACACGGUAUUCAUUAGAUUUUAUUUGCUGAGCACACACUUGUACUCUACCGACUCAUGACUUUCCCUUCGGGACUAUCGUGGUCAUUACAUGACUAAGUAACUUGAUUGUGCUCCUAGACUUACACUCUGAUCCUAUAGUCAUACUCUACUCCUUGAGCAAGAGUUACCUUUGCUCAUAUGUUACUUUACUCAAGAGCAUUUUACUGGCGAGUUAACUUACUCAUGAACCAUUCGACUCUGGAUAUUUUCCAAAGUGAUAAAGCUUUUUAAUUUAAUUGGAGCAAUCUCUAGACACUGUCCUAAUAAAUUGGCAUACGCAAGG